AUGCAGAUUAUCAUCCCAUAUGACAUGUCCAAAGGUUCUGUUUUUUGGAAUUCCAAAUUCAUCAGAAGGAAGAUUUUGUUUCUCUGUUCACUGCAACAGCCCAGAUGCCCAACACUGUCUUCAUGGGUAGUUUCUGUACUAAAGCAAUCAACAGUGUGGGACUGCAAAACCUUGUAAUCUUAGAAUUCUUGUAGCCCUGACUGCAAUUAAAUGUGAGCUAAUGAUUAAGAAGCUUGUUAGUUCUGGGAAGCUAGAUAAAAUUUGUAACAGAUACAGAGUUUUAAAGGUAAAUUACUCAAGUCCUUGUUUGCCCGGAGAUCGGACGUUCCCGGACCCACUAUCAGUACGUGACAGUCGUGACCAUUAGUGUGUGUGUGUGCCGACCAUCAGAACGUGACAGUCGUGACCAUUAGUGUGUGUGCCGACCAUCAGAACGUGACAGUCGUGACCAUUAGUGUGUGUGUGUGCCGACCAUCAGAACGUGACAGUCGUGACCAUUAGUGUGUGUGUGUGCCGACCAUCAGAACGUGACAGUCGUGACCAUUAGUGUGUGUGUGUGCCGACCAUCAGAACGUGACAG
rnacentral:lncRNA from 1 species